rnacentral:rRNA from 1 species
GGGUUGUGAGGUUAAGCGACUAAGCGUACACGGUGGAUGCCCUGGCAGUCAGAGGCGAUGAAGGACGUGCUAAUCUGCGAUAAGCGUCGGUAAGGUGAUAUGAACCGUUAUAACCGGCGAUUUCCGAAUGGGGAAACCCAGUGUGAUUCGUCACACUAUCAUUAACUGAAUCCAUAGGUUAAUGAGGCGAACCGGGGGAACUGAAACAUCUAAGUACCCCGAGGAAAAGAAAUCAACCGAGAUUCCCCCAGUAGCGGCGAGCGAACGGGGAGGAGCCCAGAGCCUGAAUCAGUGUGUGUGUUAGUGGAAGCGUCUGGAAAGGCGCGCGAUACAGGGUGAGAGCCCCGUACACAAAAAUGCACAUGCUGUGAGCUCGAUGAGUAGGGCGGGACACGUGGUAUCCUGUCUG